rnacentral:rRNA from 1 species
UACGGAGGAUCCAAGCGUUAUCCGGAAUCAUUGGGUUUAAAGGGUCCGUAGGCGGUUUAAUAAGUCAGUGGUGAAAGCCAUCGCUCACGGUGGAACGGCCAUUGAUACUGUUAGACUUGAAUUAUUAGGAAGUAACUAGAAUAUGUAGUGUAGCGGUGAAAUGCUUAGAGAUUACAUGGAAUACCAAUUGCGAAGGCAGGUUACUACUAAUGGAUUGACGCUGAUGGACGAAAGCGUGGGUAGCGAACAGG